AACGUAGGGUGCAAGCGUUGUCCGGAAUUACUGGGUGUAAAGGGAGCGCAGGCGGACCGGCAAGUUGGAAGUGAAAACUAUGGGCUCAACCCAUAAAUUGCUUUCAAAACUGCUGGCCUUGAGUAGUGCAGAGGUAGGUGGAAUUCCCGGUGUAGCGGUGGAAUGCGUAGAUAUCGGGAGGAACACCAGUGGCGAAGGCGACCUACUGGGCACCAACUGACGCUGAGGCUCGAAAGCAUGGGUAGCAAACAGGAUUAGAUACCCUGGUAGUCCUGACUACU
rnacentral:rRNA from 1 species